rnacentral:hammerhead_ribozyme from 1 species
AUCGAGCUGACGACUCCCAAAUAGAACGAAACGCGAGUCCUGGAU